AAUACUUGGAGUUAGAGUCAGAUUUUUUUUAACAAUGUUAACUCUAUCAAUUUGUUUAAGUUACAUGACUUCCAAGGAAAAAAAGAGAGGAUAAUGAAGCACAAUAUUAUUUCUAAUUGAGAAGAAUCAUUUCCUUUCCUCCAUCCUCAGCCCGUCGACCUUCUUUCCCAAAAAGAAGAACCACCACUUUCUUCUUUCAAAUUAACCUCGUAGAGAAUUUCAGGUGAUAGCUGCAAAAUCUUGAAAGAAAAGGGUUAAGUUUGGAUGAAGAUGGAAGUGUGCUGAGCUGGAGCUUUUUGUUUAUGUAAAUAGUAAUAGGCUCAGGAUGUUGUGUCUUCAUACAUAAUGUCCCAUGAUGUACUCCGCUGCAACACUUUAUUUCUCUUAUCACUUUUGACGUGUUGUAGAAUGUUUUAAAAACCUUAACCUGUAUAUGAGCGUGAUAAGUCUUGGUUAUGAUAUUUAUUUGGUCUAAGCUUCUUUUGUUAAAGUUUGAUGGCUAUGUAUGUAAGUUAAUUAUACGUUUGUCUUAGUUUCCUUUCAAUUACUUUCCAUCUCUCGUUCUCCACCCUAGUCGUACGAUACCUGGUCUAGCUAUCUUUCUCCUAGGCCGGGCUGCGACAAAGUGGUAUCAGAGCAGGCCCUUUGCUCUGAGCCUAAAUUAUUUUGAGUUUAGUCUAGAUUGUAUCUCUAGACUACUAGAAUAUUAAUGAUGAAUGCUCAGCGCGCACACCAUCUCAUCCAGCUUAAUCAGGUAUGAGUUUAAAUUAUUUUCUUCCUUUUGGUAAAAAUUAUGAUGUGAUUUAAAGAGUUUGAGUUACUGAUAAAGGAAAUGAUGGAUGAUGCUAUUUAUGAGAUUCUUGGAGUGAUGUUUCAGUUUAGAAUGGAUAUGAAUUUUAUUACAUGAAUUAUGAGAUUGUUUUGGAUUAUUGUUCAUUUCAAACUUGUUAUGAUUUUUAUGAGUAUUAUGUUAAGCUAAGUUGUAAAGGUUAUAUUGGGCAGGAUGGCUCGUACCCUACGUACCGCGAGGAAGAGAGUUAGUGCUAGAGCGACACGGGAUGAGAUUCGCUGGGAGUACUUUCACUAUGGCAUGUGCUGGAGAGAUACAUUGGGGGAAUUUCUUGCCCACUUCCAUGAGCACUGGUUGGCAGCUAGCAUGUAUGGGAUCUCCUCGUAUGAUGGCAUUAUUCGACUGUUGACUCUACUUCCAUCCGACUGGAAGGGUUGGGCGACCUCCAUUGCCUCAGACUACUUAUACCAUUAUGGUGAGGAGUACGACCUGUAUGUAGAUUUUCCAGGUUUCGCAGCAGCGGUUAGUCAUCAGUAUUACCGCUAUGGGGCAGCUCCUUAUGGACCAUACACGCUACCAGGAGACUACAUCCAAGCUGGAUGAGGCAUUGCUGAUUUCCUACCACGAGAUGACCCUGCCCCGUAUGUACCGCCCGAGCCAGUUCAGGUGGCCCCACUCCUUGAGUCUGAUACUGAUGACGAGAUAGCUGCCCUACUUCGUUCUCCUACACCGAUUUACAUAGUGGUUUCCUCUGGUAGUGAGACAACUUCUCAACAAACACUCAUGUCCGACUGUACCAUCCUUGGAACCCGCACCCGCGAUGAGUUUGAAGCUGGACCUUCCAGACCGCGUGGUGUACCUCGAGAUCAUGUGGAUUCUCCUGGAAUGCAGCCAACUGUUGGAACCAUACGCCGAGAACCAAUAGAUCUAAAUCAAGCGGAUGUGGUAGUCGACUCGGAUGAUACACGUGAGGCAGAGACACACAGUCAGACGAUACGUGUGUUCUUGAGGAGGGAUUCUGCAGGUAAGGGUGUGAGAGUUCACGAGGUUCCACGAGAUGAAGGCGAGACAGAGACAGAGCCUAGCGAGUCCAGUGCAGCAUGAGCAGAUGUUAGCUACUCUUUGAUGAUGGUUAGAUAGGAGGUGUAGUAACUUUAUGUAUGUACAUAGAUGUAUAUAGCUAUGUGUGGUGUGUAGAUGUAUAUAUGUGUUUUGGUGAUACGGAUGCAGAGUCUAGCAGACCGCACCGUGGUGUAGUACUAGUUGUGAUGUUUAUAUAGUAGAACAUCAGGAUUAGUACUAGGGAUUUUUGUUGUACAUAUCCCUGCUAUUUUGUAAAAGUCCUCCGAGGAGGCAGCUUUUACCUGAUGAUAUAUGAUGAUGACCUACGCGGUCAUUUAGCAAA